UUGAUUCACUUACUCACCCCCUAACGCCGAGUUCCUUUUCACUGUCUGUGGACAUUAAAAAAGCAAGCGGCGGCUGCGGGCGCCCGGAGAGCGAGCGGCCGGGCGGGCGAGCAGCGAUCGGGCGGCCGAGCAAGCGAGCAGCGCCGGCGCAGCGCGGUGACCCCAGCCCCGGCCAGCUGGGAGCCGGAGCCGGAGUCAGAGCCGAGCAGAUCUCCGCGCUCUCCCUGCGUUCCUCCCGGCUCCAGCCGGCCCUACCCGGCGGUGGCGGCGGCGCGUCCUCCAGCGGUGGCAGCUGUGCUCACAGCGCCCGAACUUGUGGCCACAGUGCUUGGACCGCAUAGAACCCACUCAGCACCUCUUUCACCGCAGUCUCCCUUCCCCAAUAUUGCCACAGCCUGGAGUUGUGAUCGACUGGCAGAAGCCUUAGCAGGAGGAUGGACCUUGAGUGAAGUGGAGGGCCUGUGAGCUACUGACCAGUGCAGGGAUACUAGGGACUACACGGAGGCUGGACCACGUUCAUGGCUCUCGGGUAGAACCCAGCGAAACGGCCAGAAUGAAUUCUAUGGACAGGCACAUCCAGCAGACCAAUGACCGUCUGCAGUGCAUCAAGCAGCACUUACAGAACCCGCCAACUUCCAGCGAAUGCUGCUACAGA